rnacentral:rRNA from 1 species
UCCGUAGGUGGCGAGCGUUAUCCGGAUUUACUGGGCGUAAAGCGCUUGUAGGCGGCGUCGUAAGUUGGGCGUGAAAGCUCCGGGCUUAACCCGGAGAGGCCGUCCAAUACUGCGGAGCUCGAGGGUGCCAGAGGAAGGUGGAAUUCCUGGUGUAGCGGUGAAAUGCGUAGAUAUCAGGAGGAACACCCGUGGCGAAGGCGGCUUUCUGGGGCAUUCCUGACGCGGAGAAGCGAAAGCUAGGGUAGAAGACAGG